rnacentral:rRNA from 1 species
CGCUAUCACUCCUACGGGAGGCAGCAGUGGGGAAUAUUGCACAAUGGGGGAAACCCUGAUGCAGCCAUGCCGCGUGUGUGAAGAAGGCCUUCGGGUUGUAAAGCACUUUCAGUAGGGAGGAAGGUAGUGUAGUUAACACCUGCAUUAUUUGACGUUACCUACAGAAGAAGCACCGGCUAACUCCGUGCCAGCAGCCGCGGUAAUACGGAGGGUGCGAGCGUUAAUCGGAAUUACUGGGCGUAAAGCGCAUGCAGGCGGCCUGUUAAGUCAGAUGUGAAAGCCCGGGGCUUAACCUCGGAAUUGCAUUUGAAACUGGCAGGCUAGAGUCUUGUAGAGGGGGGUAGAAUUUCAGGUGUAGCGGUGAAAAUGCGUAGAGAUCUGAAGGAAUACCAGUGGCGAAGGCGGCCCCCCUGGACAAAGACUGACGCUCAGAUGCGAAAGCGUGGGGAGCAAACAGGAUUAGAUACCCUGGUAG